rnacentral:rRNA from 1 species
AUUGAACGCUGGCGGCAUGCCUUACACAUGCAAGUCGAACGGUAACAGAUCUUCGGAUGCUGACGAGUGGCGAACGGGUGAGUAAUACAUCGGAACGUGCCUAGUAGUGGGGGAUAACUACUCGAAAGAGUGGCUAAUACCGCAUGAGAUCUACGGAUGAAAGCAGGGGAUCGCAAGACCUUGUGCUACUAGAGCGGCCGAUGGCAGAUUAGGUAGUUGGUGGGAUAAAAGCUUACCAAGCCGGCGAUCUGUAGCUGGUCUGAGAGGACGAUCAGCCACACUGGGACUGAGACACGGCCCAGACUCCUACGGGAGGCAGCAGUGGGGAAUUUUGGGCAAUGGGCGCAAGCCUGAUCCAGCAAUGCCGCGUGCAGGAUGAAGGCCUUCGGGUUGUAAACUGCUUUUGUACGGAACGAAAAGCCCUGGGUUAAUACCCUGGGGUCAUGACGGUACCGUAAGAAUAAGCACCGGCUAACUACGUGCCAGCCGCCGCCGUAAGAC